rnacentral:tRNA from 3 species
GGGGCUUUAGCUCAGUUGGGAGAGCGCCUGCUUUGCAAGCAGGAGGUCAUCGGUUCGAUCCCGUUAAGCUCCA